GGCGUCGUGGCCAAAACAGGACAAAGGCACCGGGCUUUCAACUCGGAGAUUAGGGGUUCGAGCCCCCUCGACGCUA
rnacentral:tRNA from 1 species